GCAGCCAUGACAAGCAGCAUGUGAAGAUGCCAGUAAGCCACGAGCCACGUGCCAAGAGUUGGCUAGAAAUAUGAACUUGCAACAAGCAGGAUUUGAAGAGCUAGAAUCAAAGAGUGUUCAUCAUCACUGCACUGCAUCCCCCAAAUGAAUGGCAAAUAGCACAGGAGCAGGAAUAAUAACUGACAUCUCAUGGAGAAUGAGAGUGAUUUUCCAACAGUUGGCGACAUGGCUUCAGGAUUUUUCUUUAAGAAUGAGGCCAACAAGGUCACCAUCAAUCUACGAGGAGAAACUGAGAUCACCAGGUCAAGACGCAACCCUUUGCCAGGAAGGAAGGACAAGACAUCUGUGGAGUGAUGGCUCUUCUCCCCACCAUCUUCAGCCAUUCACCAACAGCUCAUUUUCAUCUCAGAUUGCUUCACAGCUUUCUCCACGAGUAUUGACAAGUCAUUGCUUCUUCUUUGUCCACCUAAAGAAACAUUUUAGGAUUUGUUCCCCCACCAAAGGAGUAGGUGGUGACCCAGGCUUCUACUUUUAGAAAGAACCCUGUGUGGUGGCUCUUUCUCAGCUCAGACUCACUCUGAGUCCACCUCAGAGCUCACUUUCAGCUCUACCAACA